rnacentral:rRNA from 1 species
CAGUAGCCACGGUAACACGUAGGGUGCAAGCGUUAUCCGGAAUUAUUGGGCGUAAAGAGCUCGUAGGCGGUUUGUCGCGUCUGCUGUGAAAACUGGAGGCUCAACCUCCAGCCUGCAGUGGGUACGGGCAGACUAGAGUGCGGUAGGGGAGAUUGGAAUUCCUGGUGUAGCGGUGGAAUGCGCAGAUAUCAGGAGGACCAUCGAUGGCGAAGGCAGAUCUCUGGGCCGUAACUGACGCUGAGGAGCGAAAGCAUGGGGAGCGAACAGGAUUAGAUACCCCAGUAGUCCCUGUCUCUUAUAA